AUUGAACUCUGGCGGCAGGCCUAACACAUGCAAGUCGAGCGGAUGAAGGGAGCUUGCUCCUGGAUUCAGCGGCGGACGGGUGAGUAAUGCCUAGGAAUCUGCCUGGUAGUGGGGGAUAACGUCCGGAAACGGGCGCUAAUACCGCAUACGUCCUGAGGGAGAAAGUGGGGGAUCUUCGGACCUCACGCUAUCAGAUGAGCCUAGGUCGGAUUAGCUAGUUGGUGGGGUAAAGGCCUACCAAGGCGACGAUCCGUAACUGGUCUGAGAGGAUGAUCAGUCACACUGGAACUGAGACACGGUCCAGACUCCUACGGGAGGCAGCAGUGGGGAAUAUUGGACAAUGGGCGAAAGCCUGAUCCAGCCAUGCCGCGUGUGUGAAGAAGGUCUUCGGAUUGUAAAGCACUUUAAGUUGGGAGGAAGGGCAGUAAGUUAAUACCUUGCUGUUUUGACGUUACCAACAGAAUAAGCACCGGCUAACUUCGUG
rnacentral:rRNA from 1 species